CCUUUCUCCUGCUCUAGGCCCAGCGCCUUGGACGUGCACAGUAGAUCCCUCCCGGCUUCCCGGCUUCCCGUCUCGUCACCCUCUGGGCUGUGACCAUCUAUGACAAGCCGGCAUCUUUCUUUAAAGAGACACCUCUGGACCUGCUGCACCGGCUCUUCAUGAAGCUGGGUGGCACUCACUCUCUGUUCAGGGCCUGCUCAGAACCUGAGGACGCAGCCAUGGAGCGGUCGGCCUUCAUGGAGCUGGAUGCUGGGAGCAGGCUGGUGAUGCAUCUCCGCGAGUGGCCAGCCCUGCUGGUCAGCAGCACGGGCUGGACAGGUCUGCACGACCCCUGGAACACUUGGGAGUUUGAACAACUUACUCUUGAUGGACACAACCUUCCUUCUCUUGUCUGUGUGAUAACAGGGUCGGUGGACCUGGGUGUCUGUCUGCACAUGUCCUCCAGUGGCCUGGACCUGCCCAUGAAGGUGGUGGACAUGUUCGGGUGCUGUUUGCCUGUGUGUGCCGUGAACUUCAAGUGUUUACAUGAGCUGGUGAAACAUGAAGAAAAUGGCCUGGUCUUUGAGGACUCAGAGGAACUGGCAGCUCUGCAGAUGCUUUUCUCAAACUUUCCUGAUCCUGCAGGCAAGCUAAACCAGUUUUGGAAGAACCUGCGGGAGUCGCAGCAGCUCCGAUGGGAUGAGAGCUGGGUGCAGACUGUGCUCCCUUUGGUUAUGGACAUACAACUCCUGGGCCAGAGGCUAAAACCCCGGGACCCCUGCUGUCCUUCCCGCAGCUUCUUCUCGGAGUCUCAGGGCAAACCCUUUUGAGCAGCGCCUCCCAGUGGCCAGAAGCUGAAAUGACGGCAGUGGUGCCGCCUGGUGAAUGAAUUGGUUCUGUGACCCGGGAA
rnacentral:lncRNA from 1 species